UACGUAGGGUGCGAGCGUUAAUCGGAAUUACUGGGCGUAAAGCGUGCGCAGGCGGCUUUGCAAGACAGAUGUGAAAUCCCCGGGCUCAACCUGGGAACUGCAUUUGUGACUGUAUAGCUAGAGUACGGCAGAGGGGGAUGGAAUUCCGCGUGUAGCAGUGAAAUGCGUAGAUAUGCGGAGGAACACCAAUGGCGAAGGCAAUCCCCUGGGCCUGUACUGACGCUCAUGCACGAAAGCGUGGGGAGCAAACAGG
rnacentral:rRNA from 1 species